GUAAGGCUGAGCUAGUGUGUGUCCAGCAUGGAAGGAUGUGUGCUUCACACUCUCCCUUGGGACCACUCACACUGCUGCCUCACUGAUGGUCUAGGACUGUACAGUCAUCAGGGACCCGGUUUCCACCUUCUUCGUUGUAACUUCUAUCUUCAAGUUCAUCUUAUGAUCCAAGACGGCGACUGGAGCUUUAGCCUUCACGAACUCAUUCCCAGCAGCAGGAAGGAAGAAUGGUGGAAGGAUGAAAAGUGUGCACCUCCCAUUACAUUCCAUGAGCCAGAACUUAGUUACGUGGUCUCACCUAGUAGCAAAGGAAGCUAGGAAUAUCUUUCCUUUGGCUGGGUACAUUGAUGACCUGAAUAACAUGAGUUAUUUUACUAAAGAAGAAGAGGACAGUGGAUAUUGAGUGACUAUUAACAGUCUCUGCUUUAGUCUCCUCACCACAGCUCAGUGCCCAGCUCUCAACAGCAGUGGCUCUGAACUUUCAAUAUGGUACCCGAUCCAGAGAGGACCAGCCUGCCAUCUGGUGGCAAGUUGGCCACACUGGAUUCCUUUCAUUAUAGAGGCAGCUCAGGUUUGCCUUCACUGGAAUAGACAUUUAUUCUGCCCAUGGGUUUGCAUUCUCUGCCAGUUAUGCUUCUGCCAGCAACAUCAUUAGUGGAUUUACUGAAUGUCUUCUUCACAAACAUGGUAGUCCAAAUAGCAUUACUUCUGACCAGAGACCUCAUUUUUCAGCAAAAGAAGUAAAGAAAUUGGCAGCUUUUGUACAGAGGACAGACAUUGGUCUGGGUGUCAGAAGACCUAAAUUACAGCCUCAGAUUUUCCAGUAGCAAGCUGUGUGACCUUGGACAAAUCUCCUUUCUCAUCUGUAAACCAGGGGGUUGGACCACAAGUUCUAAGGCCCCUUCCGGCAGAGACACCCCAGCACCAGGAAUUCCUGUCAACUCCUCUUGAUCCUAUUGAUUUUCAGCCCACAUAUGGAUCUGCUCAGCACACAUCUGCUCCUUCCUCCAGGAGGCGUGGUCUGGAGAUCUGCAUACAGCAGGCAUUUAUUAGAUGCUCUUAAAAACAGGAGACAACCUAAGCAUACAUUCACAGGGGAUGGUUGAAUACAUUGUGCAGCUAUUAAAAGAAGAAUGAGCUAGCCUUCAGUCCACUGAGCUGGAGGGAAGUGCAUGAUUCAAGUGAGAAAAAAGCUCAUUACAGAAUGUGUUAGAGAAUGACUCCUUUUUUGUGAAAACCAGACGACAAAAUCUCUAUAUGUACGUGGGCGGGCUUGUUUAUGUUCACAGGAAGGAGGAAGGCGGGAGAGAGUACACCGCAGUCUGUGACAUUAGCUAUCUAGGAGCGUGUGUGUGCUGAGGACGCGGGGAUGGGGGAACAGAGAA